UACUAUGUGGCCCAAUGGAUAAGGUGCUGGUUUUCGGAACCAUAGAUUUUGGGUUUGAUCCCAGGCCUAGUGG
rnacentral:tRNA from 1 species